rnacentral:misc_RNA from 1 species
GAUGAAGAACGCAGCGAAAUGCGAUAAGUAAUGUGAAUUGCAGAAUUCAGUGAAUCAUCGAAUCUUUGAACGCACAUUGCGCCCCCUGGUAUUCCGGGGGGCAUGCCUGUCCGAGCGUCAUUACAACCCUCAAGCUCGGCUUGGUGUUGGGCCCCGCCGCCCCGGCGGGCCCUAAAGUCAGUGGCGGUGCCGUCCGGCUCCGAGCGUAGUAAUUCUUCUCGCUCUGGAGGUCCGGUCGUGUGCUCGCCAGCAACCCCCAAUUUUUUUCAGGUUGACCUCGGAUCAGGUAGGGAUACCCGCUGAACUUAAGCAUAUCAAUAAGCGGAGGA